UAUUUAUGUGUGCAGUACAACAAUGUUGCGAAUCUGCGUUAGUGGAAUUUACAGCUAGUGUCAACAGGAAGUGCUUCUGUGACGGUAUCCGGUGCGUUUGAACGCUCGUGCACACUUUGCAGCUCAGAGGCUGAUGUGACAGUGUACAGGUAUCAUUUGCUAAAGACUCACCAACUUCCUUUAGAUGCAUUCCUGGUUGCACUGAAGAUGAUGCAGGUGGAGGAAGUGGACAUGAUGAAGUUCAGUGCAUCCUGGCCAAUCUCAUAUAUAUGGGUCACAUCAAAGGCUAUAUUUCACUACAGCACCGGAAGUUGGUUGUCAGUAAGCGAAACCCUUUCCCACCCUUGUCUUCUGUAUCUUAAACUACUGCUGCCACAAAGGAUCUGCCAAACUCCAACCUCGUCUGAGCUGACUCCUGUUGGAUUCAUGUAAUUUUGGAACUAGUUAUAUAGUAGUUCCAGACUGGAAAAUAUCUCCCCACAGUGUAAUUCUUCACCAGCGACAAAGUAAAUUGAAUUUUUGAAUGAGUU